rnacentral:siRNA from 1 species
GUUAUUAAGUAACGUCCUAUCAAA